rnacentral:rRNA from 1 species
UACGGAGGGUGCAAGCGUUAUCCGGAUUCACUGGGUUUAAAGGGUGCGUAGGUGGGCAAGUAAGUCAGUGGUGAAAUCUCCGGGCUUAACCCGGAAACUGCCAUUGAUACUAUUUGUCUUGAAUACUGUGGAGGUCAGCGGAAUAUGUCAUGUAGCGGUGAAAUGCUUAGAUAUGACAUAGAACACCAAUUGCGAGGGCAGCUGGCUACACAAAUAUUGACACUGAGGCACGAAAGCGUGGGGAGUCAAACAGGA